CAGAUUUCAGAACAUCUGACCAGUCACUACCCAAAACUUCAAAAUCUAACAGGGGGAUGGCUGCUUUAUAAACAUUAAGAGGUUCUGGACGGAGAAAACUUUCACUUAUACCUCCAGAGACUGAGGGUUACCAUGGAAACCUUUUGAAAACUGUGACAGUAGGAGGAAAAAACAUGAUCUACAUAUUUCCACUUCAGGAGAAAACUGAUAUGUCUCCUCUUCCUCUGGAUGCUCUAGAACUUCAAAGCAUGCCUAAAGCAUCAUGGGAAGUUUGCAGUGUUACCUUGCAGUUUAUUCUCAUCAUGAAAGCAGUGCUAAUGAAGGUACUCCAGUGGCGUCAACAUCAAGUACAAAUGAUGCCAGUUUCCCUGGAACACAUCUGUUUUUAAUUUGAGGCAGCUUGUCCAGUAUGUGAAGAGGAAUAUCUGCUGGAUAUUUUACAGAUCCAUGCCAGCUGUUGUGGAGACAGGUGAGGAGUUCCUAAAAAUAGGAACCAUUUUUAUAAAUAUCUCAACGCCAACAGUGAAGUUUCUCCACUAUUUCAAAUAUACAAUAACAAACCUUCUAAUCCAAAUGAACAGAGUACUCCUCCUAAUGCUGUCUGUUGGAUGGGUGCAAAAACUUGU